AAAACAUUUACUCAUUGUUCAAAUUAACCCAAAUAAUGUUUUUAAGAAAAAUUCUGAGCAAUGUGGAUCAAACACAGAUAAUAUGAAAUAUAAUAUUGUUUUUCUUGCUCUUACUCUUCCCAACUAUUUAUCUUGGGCCUUGUGAUAAAAUGGAUUAAAGGAAAAUUAAAAAGUAUACAAGGUACAAAAAUAGCAUACAUUAGAAUUUGGUAAAUAUUAGACCAAAGAAAGAUAAGUCAAAGGAAAUCACAGAGUGUGGGCCAUAACUUACACAAUUUUUGAAAGUUGACCACAAAUUCGGCUCUAAGUUUCCUAGCAGCAACAUGGAGAAGGUUCAGUUUUGCUGUAUAGUUGAGUUUAUUUAUUUAUUUUUUUUCAGUAUAAAAUUUGCCACUUUGGUCAUUUUUAAGUGUGCGGUUGGCUGUUGUGUAACCAUCACCCCCAUCUGUCGCUGGGACUUUUUUAUCUUCACCAGCUGACCUCUCACCCUCGUUCCCCUCCUCCAGCGCCUGGCCGUACAUCCUCCUGUCUGUGACUCGACUACUCCAGGGGCCUCUUGCAAGGGGGCCGUUCUGCACCCCGCUUUUGUGCUUGGCUUGUUUCAGGCAAGGGCAGGGGCGUCGCAGUCCCUCCUUCUCUGGCUGCGUGACAUUCUGCUGUGUGUGGACUGCGUUCAUCUACCCUUGUCCCCCGAGGCACCUGGGUUGCUCCCACCCUUGGGCUCUGUGGGCAGCGCUGCUGUGAACGCAGGCACAGCCGUCUCUUCCCUUCUCUUGGUGACCAUGGCCAGGAGUGGAGCUGCUGGACCUCGUGGGGACCCCGCUCUUCCAGCAGUCGUCCCACCGUUUUCCACCUGGCUGCCCGGCAGCGUCCCCAGCAGGGCACUGGCUUCUCACGUCUCGCCAGCCCUGCUGCUGCGCUCUUCGUUUGAGCAGCCAUCCCGGGGGUGGCAGUGGUGAUUGGCUUCAGGUUUUCUUAGUGAUCCUGAAAAGGAAGCUGCUUGGGGGGAAAACACCCUGAUUCUAGAACCAGAAGGAAACUUCUGUUCAGGGCACUUAUGAAGAGGACACCCUUGUCCUGUAAGGCCAUUGGUAGUGCUGCAGCCAGUGCUUUAGGAGGGACAGUAGGAGUGCUUUAUGGGCUGUUUGUCACACUGCCCUUCUCCUGGGCUCAGGACACCCUCCAGGGACCUUUUGGUCCAUGUCCCACUGCCCUGCCCCUGCCACUGGUGGGCUCUGGCUCAACCCAGAGAUUAGUUGCUUUGUAUCUAAAACAAUUGAUGGACAAGAUGUCCUUUAGGGAAUUUCCUAUCAAUAGUACUUCUCUCAAUUGAGUUUCUAAAAAUGUUUUACUUCUUUAUUGUGGAAAGUGUCCAGCGUGUAUACAAGUAAGAGAGGAGAUGGCCGAGCGCAUGUGCUGGCCUCUGCGGCUCAGCUGUGCUGCCCCGCCCCCGCCCCAGGCUGAAAGCCAGCCUCAGAUGUCAUGGCAGUUCUCUUUCUGGUGACCAGAGGACCUGCUGCCACAUGGAUUUGAGUCCUGAGCCUCCAGAUUAGGACCAACUCCUGAGGGGCCGGGGGCUGAGCCUGAAGUGGCUGUCCAAUUCUGAAGCCCUGAGAAGGGAAGCGACGGGCUCCUCAGGGGCUCUCGGUCAGGUGCGUUGCCGGUGCGUCCGGCUUCCCAGGCAGGACCGCUGGAAUGAUCCAUCCACCGUAUGGCAGCCACAUACCCCGGGCUUUGAGAAGGCGAGCUCCGUCCUGAUCCGCGUACACGUUCACCUCAUUCCUACCUCCCAUCUAUAUUUUUAUAAGUCAUUUAAAUUCUUCUUUUGGAACGAUGCCAUGUAUAAAUUAAGUACUAAAAAUGAAACAAAAUGAAA